CACGUAGUUAGCCGGCGCUUCUUAUCCAGCUACCGUCAACCCACCCACAAGGGACAGGCCUGCUUCACUGGCGAAAGAGGUUCACAACCCGAAGGCCUCCAUCCCUCACGCGGCGUCGCUGCAUCAGGCUUGCACCCAUUGUGCAAUAUUCCCCACUGCUGCCUCCCGUAGGAGUCUGGGCCGUGUCUCAGUCCCAGUGUGACCGUCCACCCUCUCAGGCCGGCUACCCGUCACCGCCUUGGUAGGCCAUCACCCCACCAACAAGCUGAUAGGCCGCGAGCCCAUCCCCUACCGAACAAUAUCUUUCCCACACCCACCAUGCAGCAGGCGCAGAAUAUCCCGUAUUAGCCACACUUUCAUGCGGUUAUCCAGAAGAGGGGCAGGUUACUCACGUGUUACUCACCGUUCGCCACUCAUCCAGAACCAGAAAACUGAACUCCUUCACCGUUCGACUUGCAUGUGUUAAGCACGCCGCCAGCGUCGUCUCGUACGCGAAC
rnacentral:rRNA from 1 species